UCAGUCGACUCCUACGGGAGGCAGCAGUGGGAAUCUUAGACAAUGGGCGCAAGCCUGAUCUAGCCAUGCCGCGUGAGUGAUGAAGGCCUUAGGGUCGUAAAGCUCUUUCGCCAGGGGAUGAUAAUGACAGUACCUGGUAAAGAAACCCCGGACUAACUCCGUGCCAGCAGCCGCGGUAAGUACGGAGGGGUUAGCGUUGUUCGGAAUUACUGGGCGUAAAGCGCGCGUAGGCGGAUUAGUCAGUUAGAGGUGAAAUCCCAGGGCUCAACCCUGGAACUGCCUUUAAUACUGCUAGUCUUGAGUUCGAGAGAGGUGAGUGGAAUUCCGAGUGUAGAGGUGAAAUUCGUAGAUAUUCGGAGGAACACCAGUGGCGAAGGCGGCUCACUGGCUCGAUACUGACGCUGAGGUGCGAAAGUGUGGGGAGCAAACAGGAUUAGAUACCCUGGUAG
rnacentral:rRNA from 1 species